rnacentral:rRNA from 1 species
UACGGGGGGGGCAAGCGUUGUUCGGAAUUACUGGGCGUAAAGGGCUCGUAGGUGGCCAACUAAGUCAUACGUGAAAUCCCUCGGCUUAACCGGGGAACUGCGUCUGAUACUGGAUGGCUUGAGGUUGGGAGAGGGAUGCGGAAUUCCAGGUGUAGCGGUGAAAUGCGUAGAUAUCUGGAGGAACACCGGUGGCGAAGGCGGGUUCUCUGGGCCCUUACCUGACGCUG